rnacentral:lncRNA from 1 species
CAUGUAGUGACCUUAAACUUGAUUAAUGGCUUGAGGGUUAGUUAUGGUUAGUAUACUCUACAUAAAUUUCAAUUAAAGUUUUGAAAUUUGGAUUUUCUUAUUCCUAGUGCAAAAUGAUAUUUCGGUCAUAAAUCAUUUAGAGACCUUAGAGUAUUUAAUGGAUUAAAUCAGAGUGCACAGCGGAAGUGUGGUAGUUUGAGUUAUUUUGAAAUUGGUUAAGGACAUUAAUAUUUGAUGUAAAAGGUAU